rnacentral:rRNA from 1 species
UCCAGACUCCUACGGGAGGCAGCAGUGAGGAAUAUUGGUCAAUGGGCGCGAGCCUGAACCAGCCAAGUCGCGUGAGGGAAGACGGUCCUAUGGAUUGUAAACCUCUUUUGUCGGGGAGCAAAAGACGCCACGCGUGGCGUUCCGAGAGUACCCGAAGAAAAAGCAUCGGCUAACUCCGUGCCAGCAGCCGCGGUAAUACGGAGGAUGCGAGCGUUAUCCGGAUUUAUUGGGUUUAAAGGGGGCGUAGGCGGGACGCAAAGUCCGCGGUAAAAGUGGGGAGCUCAACUCCUGCGGGCGGUUGAACCUGCCGUUCUUGAGUGAGCGAGAAGUAUGCGGAAUGCGUGGUG